UACGUAGGGGGCGAGCGUUGUCCGGAGUUACUGGGCGUAAAGAGCGUGUAGGCGGUUGAAAAAGUCAGGUGUGAAAUUCUUCGGCUCAACCGAGGGACUGCGCCUGAAACUUUUCGACUGGAGUUCGGGAGGGGCAACUGGAAUUCCUGGUGUAACGGUGAAAUGUGUAGAUAUCAGGAGGAACACCCGUGGCGAAGGCGGGUUGCUGGACCGAAACUGACGCUGAGACGCGAAAGCGUGGGUAGCAAACAGGAUUAGAUACCCUGGUAGUCCACGCUGUAAACGAUGAGUGCUAGGUGUAGGGGGUAUCGACUCCUUCUGUGCCGCAGUUAACGCAUUAAGCACUCCGCCUGGGGAGUACGGCCGCAAGGUUAAA
rnacentral:rRNA from 1 species